GGAGGGUGCGAGCGUUGUCCGGAAUCACUGGGCGUAAAGGGCGCGUAGGCGGCCCAGUAAGUAGGGGGUGAAAUCUCACGGCUCAACCGUGAAACGGCCUCCUAAACUGCUGAGCUUGAGCACGGUAGAGGCAGAUGGAAUUCCCGGUGUAGCGGUGGAAUGCGUAGAUAUCGGGAAGAACACCAGUGGCGAAGGCGGUCUGCUGGGCCGUUGCUGACGCUGAGGCGCGACAGCGUGGGGAGCAAACAGGAUUAGAUACCCUGGUAGUCCACGCCGUAAACGAUGGGUACUAGGCGUCGGGGGGGAGCGACCCCCUUCGGUGCCCGUCGCUAACGCAGUAAGUACCCCGCCUGGGGAGUACGGCCGCAAGGCUG
rnacentral:rRNA from 1 species